AGCCAGUGCCCCUCGGGACAAAAAAGGGAAACCGAAGGGAUGCUAUCACAUGGAGGACGAGGCCCGGCCCGGCUGGGCCAGAGCCCGGAGGCACCAUCUCGUCGUAAUUCAAGUCUUCUUCCACGUGGCACUGCACCCACGGCCACGCAGGAUGUGCCCCUCCACCCCUCUCAGAGCGACUCCUAGAGGAGAUUCAUUUAUCUGUACAUCUGUGCACUUUCCUAUCGGAGACCUCGGAUGCUUUUGUCUUGAUAAAAGGUGGCUGACAUAUGGAGGAUCCUGGCCUGGAGCACCCAAGGCCCUGUACCAGGCUCUGGACCGAAGGGAAAACUCCCUGACUGCUCAGCCAGAGAGGAAGCAGCCCCCUGGUGACCUGAGUAGCCUUUAGUGUCCCUCGCCCUGUCCAUCUGGCUUUGUGACGCCCUUCUGCUCUGUCCCCUGCCUGCCUGGGACCCUGAUGCUGGGUGGGCAGGCAGGGAGUGGCUGUCUGGCCCGUGGGUGGGACACUGCCUGGUACCAGGUCCGGAGGUGUUUCCCCGCUCCCUUCAUGCCAGGCCUGGGGACCCUCAGAUAGAGGCUGUCCCCUGGGGAAGGUGGGCACGCGUCUGUCCCCUGGCCCAGCCUGUCCAGGGGGCGGGGACUCUGUGGUUCCAGCUGAGGGGCAGUGGCCUUAGGGCCCAGGGCAGGCCAAAGUGUAUGUCCUAGAGUGGGCAGGGCCUGAAACUGACAGCCACUGUGGGAGGGGCAGAGGGUCCCCAUCUGCCGGAAGUGUGGUUGCAGGCAGGCGCAGCUCCAGCCCCGGCAGAGAGGGUCGUGGUCACAGGGUGGCCCAGCAGUCCCACUCCCCUCUGGGUACAGACUUCCCUGUCCAGACGCCCCUGGGCCACAGACACCUAGGGAACCAGACCACCUGGGGGCAGGCGUCAUCUCUCUCCUGUCCCUUUGGGGCACCAUGUACUUUGCUGAGUUCUUGGAGGGCCGGGACUGGACCCAGUGGCCCUGUCUCCCAGGCAGCCUGCCUGAUUCCCUGCAGGAGCAGCCUCCGGGAGCCUCGGCCCAUCUCCUGGGUACAGCGCUGGGGUGCCUCUGUGGUACUGUGCGGUGGCCUGGCUGGCCUGAGGGUGGAGAGGAGCUGGGAGUUUCCCUGGGGACCCGGGAGACAGACUCUCCGAGCGUGAGGAGGGAACCCUGAGCACGUGCAGCAGGAGCGCACUGGCUGGGCUCUCUGAGGAAGGUGUGGAGACACAGUGUCAUGGAUCCCUGGGGAUUGCUGGGCCCUCGCUGAGCCCCAGGUGUCCUUGUCUGCAGUGUGGCUCUUUCUCUGAACCCCCAGAGGCCAGACCCCUAAGCCCCUUCCACUGUGGCUGGCUUCCCACACACCUGUCUUCAUCCAGAUCCGAGGGGGGCAGGAGUGGGGUGCCCCGGGAGGUGGGGAGCAUUGCAAGGGGGCCCUGAGCAAAGCAGGGGCUGGGUUUUGCUGCUCGCAGAAUGGGGGAACCUGUGUGUUGCCAAGUCUCCGCUGGCAGCCCACGUCCACGCUUUCCUGCCACGUUAGUUCCCCAGCAGGGCUGGGUUUCUGCAGAACCACCUCUGGUCAAAGGUCUCAGAGGGAGCUCAGGUGACACUGGCAGUUGGGCAUGGAGCCAUGAAGCAUGCUGUGUCCCGGGGACCAGCCUGAGCGGAGGAGAUGCCCCUGGAAAGCAACCUUUGAAGCUCCCCUUGUCCUGUGAACCUGGCUUCUCCCCUGUGCGGAAGGUCAUCCGGGUGCCUGGGUCCCUCCAUCUGUCCCAGGUGCUGCUGGUGGGUGGAGCAGAGGGUGUGGGGGGAGGCCCCUCUGGGUGCCAAGCGCAGGUCACCUGGAGCCUCCAGCAUGGCUUAGAAAGAGGAGGGGACCAGGAGAGAGGUGAGGCCACGCUGCCGUCUGCCCACUGUUGGGUGGCCUGGCAGUGCCCAUGGGCACCAGUUGGUCUAGAAAGGAGGAAGUGUGCCCACCCCGCUUUACACACCGGAGUUUACAGUUGUGGUACAUCAGCCCAAAGGCACUGGCGUUGUUGUGCUUCAUCUUCCCCCCCUUAAUUUUCAGAUUUUUUUUUUAACAAAGUAUUUUUUUAGGUGCGGUGACCCAGAAAGGGCCCGUUGGGGUGUGUGUGUGUCCUGAACUCUUCUCCUACAGAACGGAGCCGGCCUGGGUUGAGUCUGGGGUCGCACUGUCCCCAGCUGAGGGCCUUGGGCAAGCUGGGGCGCGCAGCCAGGGUCCCAGCGGGGAGAGGUCGGAGCUCUGAUGCUGGGCCCCCUGUGACUUGUGACUUGUCCCCGGUCCUGGCCUGAGGGAGGCUGGGCAGACUGUAGCCAGCACAGUCCCCUUUACUUUGUACUCUGUGUGUAUGUUUUGGUUUCUGUGUUUUAAUAAAUCCUUUGGGGAAGGGAAUGGCUCAGUGUGGUUUUUAAGGUUCUUACUGAUGGGGGUGGGGAGGUCCCCCAAGCGCCUGUGGGCCCUGGCCUGAAUCCCUUUGGGAGAAGUAGGGCGGAUCCCCAGGGUGACCCCAGUCUCUGACCCCCACCAGGCCCUCCCAUCCCUGUCAUGGCUACGGGCCUGGUUCCAGGGUCGCCCGCACCUGGUGGCCUUGCCCUCCUCUGUGGCACUGCCCCAGAAGAAACGCAGGGGACAGGAGGCGCAGAGGCCAACGGCUUGGGUUUUAUUUGUCAUUCCAUAAAUACGCGGCUGUCCCGGAAGCUGAAGUCCGGUGGUCUCUGCCUGGGGGGACGCAGAUAGUGGAAGAACCACGAUCAUUAGAAAAUGAGAGAGAGAGCGAGUUACGAACAUGGCAGCGGGGUGAGAACAGGACCUGAGCCUUCACCAUGGGCUCGGGGCACGUGGGAGCGGGCUCUGCUCUCCGCGGUGAAGCCUGAGCCCCCGGACUGGGCUCUUCCUAUGUCCAGCUCUCCGGGUGAGGGCCUCGGCCGUGCUUCCGGGAGAGGACAGGGGCAGCAGGAGUCGGGAGGGAGCCGAGGCGGUCCCCUGGCCCAGGCCAAGAGCUUCAGGCUUCCUUGUCUAGCUCUUGGUCUACCAUCCUUCCCCAGAGGCCCCUCCAACGCCUCCCACAUCGGGCUCCCACCCCAGCCUUGUUCUCCCUGCGGUGGCUAUAAAGGAACAGCCCCCGAGCCAGGGUGUGGAGGUGCCAUUCAGAGGCUGCCGGGGUCCUGGAUACCAUGCAUGUGGGCCUCCCGAGGUCCUCCCAGGGUGCUCCCUUUCUUGGGGAAAUGCAGCCAGCAGGGAUUCCACGUUCCCUCGAGUGGCCCCUGGGGAGCAGCAGUCUCCGACCCAGGGCACUAGGCACAUCACGUUCCUCCUCCCCACAGUGGGCAGGGCCGGGUACUACCCGUCAGCCAGGGCCAGGUGACCUGUCCCCAGACAGCCACCUGAGGUCCCCACACAGAGGGGGCGGCUACAGCCUGGUGGCCUCUGCUUAGAGGGACACUGCCCCCUCUGGACACUGACAGGGUGGCUUCUGGUUGAAGCUCAUGGCAGAGCUUGGUGGAGAAGAGCCCCAGGGUCUGGUCCAGGGGCAGUGUGGGGGUUCUGGACUCCAGGGCCGGCCGGCCGCCCUGGGAGACGGAGGAAGCCAGGUGCCCUGGCUCCCUCUUCCACGACCACCUCCUCUGCCUGUGUCUCAGUGGGUUUCUUCCAGCCACGGUCCCAGGUCUCCACCCAGCCUGGACAGGGGCAGGGGGAAGCCUGCUGGAAUGUCAGCUCCACCAAAGGGCGUGGCAGGACAGAUGUUCCUGCACCUGCACGGAGGGUGUGGGUGGAUGACACCCACUGGGGUGGAGGAGCGGGGUCCUCCCUGGGGCCAGCUGGUAUAGCUAGGGUAGGGGCAUGGCUUCUGCACAGCCCUGGUCCUACAUAGAGAAGGCUGGGUCCCACACAGGACCGUGGCCAGGCAGCACAUGGCCUCACACCUGUGGGCCACUGGGCUGUCACCCUCUCUUCAGCCCCUUGCUGCUAAGGGUCUGACGCUCUGCCUGAGUGUCCCUCCCUCCCUUCUGACCAUCCUAGGUGAGCGGGUGUGGAAGGGAAUGAACAGCCCGGCCAUCUCUCCUGGGCGCGGGUCCCUGAGUUCUUUUUCCUACAUGGCGUGUGUUGCUGCUUUGGUGCAGCCCCCAGCCCCUGCACCUGCAGCAUGGAAACCCCAGAGACCUUCCCUGAAAGGGGCUGAGCAUGGCCUCUUCAGAACCCAAGCCAUCACCCUGGCGCGGGCAGGGAGUGUUAGAGGAGGGACCCUGCUAACCUAGAGGAACACAGUCAAGUGCGCGGGGCCCGGCCUGCUCCCCUGCCCGCCAUGUGGCCUGCAGCCAUGGUCCAGGUCAUAGUGCUUGGCAUCGGCCUUCUGGGUCAGGACAGAGGGGCCUGCUCCCCAGGGCUCCUUCCCAAGUGCCCUGGCCUCCUGGCAGGGGCUCUUUGAUUGUGUACAGGGUUGAACACAACGGGAUGAUUAGCCAGAAAUCAGAUCCCCAAAUUUCUGUGGGUCCCCAACCACACACCCAAUCCCCUGGGGUCCCUGCCCCUGCCAGCAAGGGUUAAGGUGGGCCCAAGGGCCAGCUGGUAGCCAUGACCCUGCCAAGGCCCAGUGGGCACAGGGCUGGAUCGGGGUGGGAGAGAGUGGUGGAGGUGCCUGGGGUCAGGGCCCAGCAAUGUGCCUGGAGCCCAUGGGAAGAGGGGGACUGGAGAAACUCCAAGGGGAGGCCCCACCCUGCCCACUGGGGCCCUGGCAGAGGGGCCCCCAGGAAGUGCCAGACCACUUCCCCAGGUCUGGGGUUCUCGGCAGAGGAGAGGCCCACCCUGCCUGACCUGAGGACCCAGCCAGGUCUUGGCCUGACCUUGGCUUUGGGAGUCUCCAUGAAAGGCUGGGUACAAACUGGGUUUCUUCCCCGAGGAGGAGCUGCGCAGGCUACGGCUGUCCCCGGAGACCUGACAGCGUCCGGCAAAGCAGCGGGUGGUGUCUGAAGGCAACCGGCAGGUCGUGUCCGGUGGUGUUUGGGCACGGCGGGUUCUCUCAGAUGCAAACCCACUCUGCACUUGGUGUGGAAACAGCAUAAGCAGCGAACAGAUGAGGAGGGGCCGGAAACUGUCCUGGUGGGCAGCGGGACAACUUAGGAUCUGUAGUCCUUUUGCUGUAGGGUUUGUUGCCCAGAAUGCUGUCGAUCUCAUGGACAAUGGAAGAUGACAGUUUGGGAAGGACCUGUACACAAGGACACAGCUAGUCAGACUCUUGCCCCUGUCUGGCCGGGCCUUUGGGGAGGCGCUGACACUUCACGGCACCCUGUGGCUGCCCUGGCUGUGGUCCUCACAUCUGGGCUCCACAUGCCGCACAGCAGACCUGGCGGCUUUGCAUUGCCGAGAGUCCUGGUCUGGAUGCCCUCCUUCCAGCUCCCGGGACUCUGGAGCCUUCCGGAAGUGGGGGCAGUGGUGAUGCAGGGUCCGCAGGCCUGCCUUCCAGGUCCUGGACUGCUCUCCCAGCUGCCUUCCCCUGGGUGACAGCACAUCAGCCUUCUAGAUGACAAGAACCCCGGUGAUGGACUGCUUUGGAUCCAGUCACGGCUCCCAUCCCG
rnacentral:lncRNA from 1 species